rnacentral:rRNA from 1 species
AAAUAGAUACCCAGGUAGUCCACGCCGUAAACGAUGAGUGCUAAGUGUUAGAGGGUUUCCGCCCUUUAGUGCUGCAGCUAACGCAUUAAGCACUCCGCCUGGGGAGUACGGCCGCAAGGCUGAAACUCAAAGGAAUUGACGGGGGCCCGCACAAGCGGUAGAGCAUGUGGUUUAAUUCGAAGCAACGCGAAGAACCUUACCAGGUCUUGACAUCCUCUGACAACCCUAGAGAUAGGGCUUUCCCCUUCGGGGGACAGAGUGACAGGUGGUGCAUGGUUGUCGUCAGCUCGUGUCGUGAGAUGUUGGGUUAAGUCCCGCAACGAGCGCAACCCUUGAUCUUAGUUGCCAGCAUUCAGUUGGGCACUCUAAGGUGACUGCCGGUGACAAACCGGAGGAAGGUGGGGAUGACGUCAAAUCAUCAUGCCCCUUAUGACCUGGGCUACACACGUGCUACAAUGGAUGGUACAAAGGGCUGCAAACCUGCGAGGGUAAGCGAAUCCCAUAAAGCCAUUCUCAGUUCGGAUUGC